rnacentral:rRNA from 1 species
UACGUAGGGGGCAAGCGUUGUCCGGAUUUAUUGGGCGUAAAGAGCGUGUAGGCGGCCAUACAGGUCCGUUGUGAAAACUGGAGGCUUAACCUCCAGACGUCGAUGGAAACCGUAUGGCUAGAGUCCGGAAGAGGAGAGUGGAAUUCCUGGUGUAGCGGUGAAAUGCGCAGAUAUCAGGAAGAACACCAGUGGCGAAGGCGGCUCACUGGACCGGUACUGACGCUGAUGCGCGAAAGCGUGGGGAGCAAACAGG